ACAGCCCAGCAGUUAUCACGGG
rnacentral:miRNA from 1 species